AGCAGCCGCGGUAAUUCCAGCUCCAAUAGCGUAUAUUAAAGUUGUUGCAGUUAAAAAGCUCGUAGUUGAAUUUCGGGAUUGGCGCAUCGGUCGUGCCUCACGGGGUAUGAACUGGUGCAGUCAAUUUCUCACCUUCUGGAGAACCGCGAUGUCCUUAAUUGGGUGCCGCGGGGAACCAGGACCUUUACUUUGAAAAAUUAGAGUGUUUAAAGCAGGCAUUUUUGCUUGAAUACAUUAGCAUGGAAUAAUAAAAUAGGACGGCAUGGUUCUAUUUUGUUGGUUUCUAGGACCACCGUAAUGAUUAAUAGGGAUAGUUGGGGGCAUUAGUAUUCAAUUGUCAGAGGUGAAAUUCUUGGAUUUAUUGAAGACUAACUACUGCGAAAGCAUUUGCCAAGGAUGUUUUCAUUAAUCAAGAACGAAAGUUAGGGGAUCGAAGACGAUCAGAUACCGUCGUAGUCUUAACCAUAAGCUAUGCCGACUAGGAAUCAGACGAUGUUUAAUUUUUAAUGUACUGUUUGGC
rnacentral:rRNA from 1 species